UGAAAAAAAAUGCUAAUGUCUCAAAAAGGCAAACAUGCGUUCCUUUCUGCUCCCCAGUGUGCAUUUGAACAUUCACACAAACAUAUGUACUACAUAAUAACUAACUCGCUUUACUACUGAGCUCCGUUGUAAUUUUAAGAGUGCCAAAUUAAGUAGCAAGACACCAAGAAAUCACGUUUUAAUUCAUAAAGAAGGGUGUGAGUUUAACUAGCAAAAGGAAAACAUUAAUUGUGAACUAUUGUACUUGUCUAAAUGUCUGUUCAUGUUUUCGAAACCGAUUUUUCUGCAGACGACAGUAUUGAAGAUCUGGACUUUAAUACUACUGGAAGUAAACGAAAGAGUUCAUUAAGUGCGAAAUCAGGACCGGCCCUAAAAAAAGUCCGUGUGAAUUCACAAAAAAUUAUUUUCAAAGAAGAAUUUUACACAGAAGUGGAAAAAAUUUCCGACAAGACAACUUGUGCUAAGUGCGUUGCAUGUCAUCGAGUGAUUAGAGGAAGCGGUGAAGUGACUUCAAAUUUCAUCAAACAUUUGCAAGUCAAGCAUAGUGAAUGUUUUAAAACAUACAAAAGUUAUAAAACAGGUAGCCCUUUUGGCGGUAACAUGCAAUCUGAGUUCGAUGGUAAACUGUUACAUGCAAUGAUUGAUUGUUCAUUGCCCCUUUCCAUUCUGGAAGAAAAAUCCUUUAUAGAUCUUUUUCAAAGUACAGGUAUGAAGGUGAUGUGUCAGAAUGUUUUCAAUGCAAAUUUUUCAAAACGAAAUGUAAAUA